UUAGAGCUUUCAGAAUGUAGAAUGAAAGUGCCCUCGUUUGGUUCCAUUGAAGUAACUGUGCCCUGAUGUGAAGAACCAUCUCGAAGUUGAUAGAAAAGAACAGUUUUCCCACUCCCAGUGAGCCCAGUGAGCACAAUGGUGCUAGAUUUUUGUGCGUUUGAACAAGCGAAUGAUUAAGAAGAAAAGGGUGGUGAGAAGCAAGACGGCAGCAGUAGCAUAGAGCUGAGUGGGAGGUAUCUGAUGGGCAUAUUCAAUCCCUUGUUGCAACCAUUGUUUCGCUUCGUUUCUCCACUGCUCCAUUCCUUCCAUCUUCAGUUUACAAUCUGCUUGAAAAAGUAGAUUGGGUAAUGGUAGCGUCUCAGAAUUCAGAAAUUUGAGUAGACAAACAAGUUCGGAUCCAUGACCUAGCAACCACCGCCGAUCGUUC
rnacentral:misc_RNA from 1 species